GAUGAAGAACGCAGCGAAAUGCGAUAAGUAGUGUGAAUUGCAGAAUUCAGUGAAUCAUCGAAUCUUUGAACGCACAUUGCGCCCCUUGGUAUUCCGGGGGGCAUGCCUGUUCGAGCGUCAUUUCAACCCUCAAGCUCUGCUUGGUAUUGGGCUCCGUCCUCCUCGGACGCGCCUCAAAGACCUCGGCGGUGGCGUCUUGCCUCAAGCGUAGUAGAAACACCUCGCUUUGAAGUGCAUGGCGUCGCCCGCCGGACGAAACCUUUUGUAUUUUCUCAAAGGUUGACCUCGGAUCAGGUAGGGAUACCCGCUGAACUUAAGCAUAUCAAUAAGCGGAGGA
rnacentral:misc_RNA from 1 species